rnacentral:rRNA from 1 species
UACGUAGGGGGGCUAGCGUUGUCCGGAAUCAUUGGGCGUAAAGCGCGCGUAGGCGGCCAGAUAAGUCCGGUGUGAAAGCCACAGGCUCAACCUGUGAAUGCCGCUGGAAACUGUCUGGCUAGAGUCCGGGAGGGGCGAGUGGAAUUCCUGGUGUAGCGGUGAAAUGCGCAGAUAUCAGGAGGAACACCAAUGGCGAAGGCAGCUCGCUGGAACGGAGCUGACGCUGAGGCGCGAAAGCGUGGGGAGCGAACAGG